GACGAACGCUGGCGGCGUGCUUAACACAUGUAAGUCGAACGGAAAGGCCCUGCUUUUGUGGGUUUCUCGUUUGGCGAACGUGUGAGUAACACGUGUGUAACCUGCCCUUUACUUUGGUAUAACUUCUGGAAACUGGGGCUAUUACCCGAUAGGAGCUCCUGCUGCAUGGUGGUGGUUGGUAAGUUUCGGCGGUUGUGGAUGGACUCGCUGCUUAUCAGCUUGUUUGUGGGGUAGUGGCUUACCAAGGCUUUGACGGGUAGCCGGCAUGAGAAGGUUACCGGCAACAAGGGGACUGAGAUACGGAGCAGAAUCGAACGGGAGGCAACAGGGGGGAAUAUUGCAGAAUGGGCGGGAGCCUGAGGCAGAAACGCCGCGAGCGGGAUGAAGGGCUACGGGGUGUAAACAGAUGUAGAAUGAGACGAAGCGGGAGUGACGGUAAUGGGUAAAGAAGCACCGGCUAACUACGUG
rnacentral:rRNA from 1 species